rnacentral:rRNA from 1 species
UAACAAGGAUUCCCCUAGUAACUGCGAGUGAAGCGGGAAGAGCUCAAAUUUAAAAUCUGGCGGUCUUCUGGCUGUCCGAGUUGUAAUCUGGAGAAGCGUUUUCUGUGUUAGACCGUGUACAAGUCUCCUGGAACGGAGCGUCAUAGAGGGUGAGAAUCCCGUCCAUGACACGGACUACUAAUACUUUGUGAUACGCUCUCGAAGAGUCGAGUUGUUUGGGAAUGCAGCUCAAAAUGGGUGGUAAAUUCCAUCUAAAGCUAAAUACAGGCGAGAGACCGAUAGCGAACAAGUACCGUGAGGGAAAGAUGAAAAGCACUUUGGAAAGAGAGUUAAACAGUACGUGAAAUUGUUGGAAGGGAAACGCUUGAAGUCAGUCGCRUGUGCAGAACUCAGCCUUGCCUCGGCUUGGUGUACUUUCUGCACAACGGGUCAACAUCAAUUUUGGCCCAUGGAGAAAGGUGGGGGGAAUGUAGCGCUGUUUCGGCAGCGUGUUAUAGCCCUCUAUUGUAUACAUGGGCUGGGAUUGAGGAUCGCAGCACGCCCUUGUGGCCGGGGGUUCGCCCUACGUACCGUGCUUAGGAUGUUGGCAGAAUGGCUUUAAGCGACCCGUCUUGAAACACGGACCAAGGAGUCUAACAUGCUUGCGAGUGUUCGGGUGGAAAACCCUUGUGCGUAAUGAAAGUGAAAGUUGGGAACCUCCGCAAGGGGGUGCACCGACGCCCGGCCCUGACGUUCUCUGACGGUGCUGCGGUAGAGCAAGUAUGCUAGGACCCGAAAGAUGGUGAACUAUGCCUGAAUAGGGCGAAGCCAGAGGAAACUCUGGUGGAGGCUCGUAGCGAUUCUGACGUGCAAAUCGAUCGUCAAAUUUGGG